CACUUAGAGACCUGAUUGAGAUCCUCCCUUCAAUUAGAAGGGACUAAGCACCUGGCGCGGGUAGAGUGGGAGGCGGAAGGAGGCAGGGUUUGUGGCGUGAUCUCCUGAGCUUGUUUUCUGGCCUCCUAGGCCACCCGCUUAAUGACGACAGCAGAGCCACCAGCGGGCUGUGGUUCAUCGCCUGGGUCAGAGAGCCAUUGCACAGGGUGCUGUUGAAACUUGUUCCUCUGCGCCCUGGGAUGUGUGGGGUUUGGCUGGAUGCUGGCAAGUGUGGUUCAGGUGGCUAACACUUAGCAAAGGGGUGGCGGGUGGCCUAAAAUUCCUAACCAGGCAUCAUUCCUAAGGAGCAAUACCUGGGAACCAGGAUUCCACCCGAGGAUGUCAGCGAGGGAAACGUGUCUGGCUUCCAAGGCAGUUUUGAAGCGUGGCUGACCAAAGUCAAAGCAAGAGGCUGGAUACAUGGAUAUCAGGUGUGGUCCCCAAGGAGCAUCUCCUUGUGCCUCUCAUCUUCAAGGACGGGUAAAGACACUGAUGCUGAGGGAGGUUAAGUCUGUGCUCCAGGACACCCCAAUUAAAUGGCAGAGUUGGGAUUCCCUUCAGUAGUCCAACUUGACAUGACAGUCCUUAAUCACUACGCUCCUGGAUAUCCAGUCGUCCUCACACAGAACUCAGGAAAUGUCACAGAAACCCCUUGACCCAGGAAAAGCAUGCAAAGCUAAGGAAACAGCACUCGCUGUGGA